rnacentral:rRNA from 1 species
CCUACGGGAGGCAGCAGUGAGGAAUAUUGGUCAAUGGACGAGAGUCUGAACCAGCCAAGUAGCGUGAAGGAUGACUGCCCUAUGGGUUGUAAACUUCUUUUAUAUGGGAAUAAAACAGGGUAUGCAUACCCUCUUGUAUGUACCAUAUGAAUAAGGAUCGGCUAACUCCGUGCCAGCAGCCGCGGUAAUACGGAGGAUCCGAGCGUUAUCCGGAUUUAUUGGGUUUAAAGGGAUAGUAGGUGGAUUGUUAAGUCAGUUGUGAAAGUUUGCGGCUCAACCGUAAAAUGGCAGUUGAAACUGGCAGUCGUGAGUACAGUAGAGGUGGGCGGAAUGCGUGGUGUAGCGGUGAAAUGCUUAGAUAUCACGAAGAACUCCGAUUGCGAAGGCAGCUCACUGGACUGCAACUGACACUGAUGCUCGAAAGUGUGGGUAUCAAACAGGAUUAGAUACCCUAGUAGUC